GAAUAAGGGCGCACGGUGGAUGCCUUGGCACUAGGAGCCGAUGAAGGACGGGACUAACACCGAUAUGCUUUGGGGAGCUGUAAGUAAGCUAUGAUCCAGAGAUUUCCGAAUGGGGGAACCCAAUAUCUUUUAUAGGAUAUUACUUUUCAGUGAAUACAUAGCUGAUUAGAGGUAGACGCAGAGAACUGAAACAUCUUAGUACCUGCAGGAAGAGAAAGAAAAUUCGAUUCCCUGAGUAGCGGCGAGCGAAACGGGAAGAGCCCAAACCAACAAGCUUGCUUGUUGGGGUUGUAGGACUCCAAUAUGGUAGUCUGUUAGUAUAGUUGAAGGAUUUGGAAAAUUCCGCUAAAGAGGGUGAAAGCCCCGUAGACGAAAUGCUGACAACACCUAGGAGGAUCCUGAGUACGGCGGAACACGAGAAAUUCCGUCGGAAUCCGCGGGGACCAUCCCGCAAGGCUAAAUACUCCCUAGUGACCGAUAGUGAACCAGUACCGUGAGGGAAAGGUGAAAAGCACCCCGGAAGGGGAGUGAAAUAGAUCCUGAAACCGUGUGCCUACAACAAGUCAAAGCUCGUUAAUGAGUGAUGGCGUGCCUUUUGUAGAAUGAACCGGCGAGUUACGAUUGCAUGCGAGGUUAAGUCGAAGAGACGGAGCCGCAGCGAAAGCGAGUCUGAAUAGGGCGAAUGAGUAUGUAGUCGUAGACCCGAAACCAUGUGAUCUACCCAUGUCCAGGUUGAAGGUGCGGUAAAACGCACUGGAGGACCGAACCCACGUACGUUGAAAAGUGCGGGGAUGAGGUGUGGGUAGCGGAGAAAUUCCAAACGAACUUGGAGAUAGCUGGUUCUCUCCGAAAUAGCUUUAGGGCUAGCCUCGGAAUUGAGAAUGAUGGAGGUAGAGCACUGUUUGGACUAGGGGCCCAUCUCGGGUUACCGAAUUCAGAUAAACUCCGAAUGCCAUUCAUUUAUAUCCGGGAGUCAGACUGCGAGUGAUAAGAUCCGUAGUCGAAAGGGAAACAGCCCAGACCACCAGCUAAGGUCCCAAAAUAUAUGUUAAGUGGAAAAGGAUGUGGGGUUGCACAGACAACUAGGAUGUUGGCUUAGAAGCAGCCACCAUUUAAAG
rnacentral:rRNA from 1 species